rnacentral:rRNA from 1 species
UGAGGAAUAUUGGUCAAUGGACGCAAGUCUGAACCAGCCAAGUAGCGUGCAGGAUGACGGCCCUAUGGGUUGUAAACUGCUUUUAUAUGGGGAUAAAGUGGGGAACGUGUUCCCUUUUGCAGGUACCAUAUGAAUAAGGACCGGCUAAUUCCGUGCCAGCAGCCGCGGUAAUACGAAGGGGGCUAGCGUUGUUCGGAUUUACUGGGCGUAAAGCGCACGUAGGCGGACUUUUAAGUCAGGGGUGAAAUCCCGGGGCUCAACCCCGGAACUGCCUUUGAUACUGGAAGUCUUGAGUAUGGUAGAGGUGAGUGGAAUUCCGAGUGUAGAGGUGAAAUUCGUAGAUAUUCGGAGGAACACCAGUGGCGAAGGCGGCUCACUGGACCAUUACUGACGCUGAGGUGCGAAAGCGUGGGGAGCAAACAGG